CCCAGGCUUGCAAUCUUCGCCUGGAGGGCUGGAAAAACACACUCCCACCAGCUCCGUUGGUUCCCUUUGGAGAACUCUGGGGCGGUAUCGGCCCUCCUCCUCCUCUACUGCCGCACCCACCAAACAUCAGAACAUCACAAUAACAACAACAAGCCCAGAAAGUGACCCAUCACAGUACAAACUGAAAGAAGACAAGAUGGUUUGGGGGUGGAGACUGGGGGCUCUUCAUUCCUGCAGCCCCUUCCCCUUUGAUGUAGGGCACUGCCACUGGACAGUUCGGCCUGGCUGUGCGUCUCAUCUUUAACCCAUGAGCAAGACAAUCUUGAGCUGUCCUUAGCUGCACUGGUGUUAAAGUAAUAUGUGCCAUUUUAUUCCAACAUUGCCCAAGGGUUUCAGGCAAGCUGAUAGGAGGAAAACUUUAAGAAAUUAUCUGUUACUAGUAAAAUUGGAGCCAAGGAUUCAAACAGGUCCAUCCAUUUAAGGCGUUUCAUUGUGAAAUAAGGAAUGCUGCUUAUGAUCCUGUGCGUGACAUAUAGUACAGUCUUUAGUGACAGCUGAUCCUGUGCAGAAGAUCUAUUCUGACUCUGGAGAAGAACAACAAAGAGGCUAAAACAUAUAAAGAACAUUUGAAGGAACUGGGUGAAUCUAAGAGAAAGCACCUUGAGGGGACUUUUUAUACAAAGCUUUUUCAGAUCAGGAAGCAUGACAAGCUGCAGAACUCUACCUCUCUACAACAAUAACACUCAAAUAUAUCAUCAUUGCAUUAAAUUAAUAAAAAAAUAAAUAAGGUGUGGAAAGUACUGCCAGAAACUCAGUUUAGUUGGCAAAUGAGUGAGUGUAAAAUGAAAAAAAAAAAAAAAAACAGAAAUGUUUCCCUUUGUUAAUGCAAAUCAAAGAGCUAGUAAGGAAUAUGAAUUAUUUCUGGCCUUUAUGCCAGGUCAGAUAUUAUUACAUUUGAGAAUGGUGGUUGCCAAUUAACCCAAAACAGAAAAAAAAAAUUCCUGCUGUUGUCAUUGUAAAACUGAUGGCACUGAAAAAAUGAAGAAGCAAAAUCAAAUCCACAGUCAUCUACGAAAACAAUCCAAAAUCUAUAAUUGAAAAAAUCCUUUCUUUGGCUUUGUCCUUUAUUUGAAUUAGAUUUUCUAUUCAGAUUUAGGGAAUUUACAUUGCAUACUAUUUUUUAAAAAAUCUAACAAUUCCGUUAGGAUCAUGGGUAAAAUUAAAACCAGUAUCAUUAAAAUCAACUUAGUUUACCAUGAAAA